rnacentral:rRNA from 1 species
UACGAAGGGGGCUAGCGUUGCUCGGAAUGACUGGGCGUAAAGGGCGCGUAGGCGGUUUGUACAGUCAGGUGUGAAAUUCCCGGGCUCAACCUGGGGGCGGCACUUGAGACGUAGGAACUGGAGUGAGGAAGAGGGUCGUGGAAUUCCCAGUGUAGAGGUGAAAUUCGUAGAUAUUGGGAAGAACACCAGUGGCGAAGGCGGCUAUCUGGACCGUAACUGACGCUGAGGCGCGAAAGCGUGGGGAGCGAACCGG